ACAAGGCUUGAAGCAUAUGGACACCCACCCAGUUAGCAAGGAGGGCAAAGGGAGCCCCAGACUUUAGCUUAUUAAAGGUGACCUUUCCCCUCUCUAAAAUUUCAAAGCUGAUGUUUCAAGUGCUGAGCAGACUGUGUGCCAUAUGUAACAUGACCUCAGCUCCACUCUGCCUGAGCACUGAUAGCAUCACUAAUGAGAGGUGAAAGGUCCUUUACUUGCAGCUUUUUCAGAAAGCCACCAACUCUUGCCUGUGAAGGGCUGACUCUUCCCCAUCCCCCAUUUCAAGAGACCUGCAUUUAAUACACAGCCUCAAAAACACUUUUAUUACCAGUCGAUUUGCUCAUAGACACAGCCAAAUGGCAGGCGGUACAAUCACAUGCAGAAGAAAAUAUUUAUUUUGACUCAGAAAGCAAAAGGAUUAAAAGAACAUUGUAUUAACCUUGCCUUUCAUCUAUGUUUUAAAGGGAAAUCCUCCAGAGGCGUCCAUUGAAGUUCUAUUUUUUAAUAAAGAGUAUCAAAGACUCUUCGGAGACCAGGUGUGUACUUAUCUGGGGAGGAGAGAAAGAGAAGAAGCUAUGCCCGGGGUUGGGGAGGCAGCUUUUACAAAGCCCCUUCAGGGACUGAAAAAGAUGUAUGUGCUGGAGUCUGUUCCAGGCGGUGUAACAGCCAUGCCUCUGCCCCUCCCCCCUUUCUGCUGCUUGGAAAGAAAAUAGCUUUUUUCCAAGUAAGUUGUUAUCAUAUUCAUGGCAUGGUCAAUUUCCGUUUGCCAAGAAAAUAUUUAGUCUGAUCAAAGAAAUUAGAAAAUCAGAUGACUAGAAACAGACGUUCCCACAAGAGAAGCGUUUCUCAAUGUGAAGCGUCAGGCGGACGGCAGCCCACCCAGUGACUCCUAGGAAACAGCUCCUGCCCAAGGCGGAACUGCGAGGCCACCUGGAUUCUGCCUCAGGGGCUCGAACAGCCUGCAACAUCGAGUGGACAGCGAUCGGACCCUGAGAGGCCGAGGUGGAGGACGUGUAUCUGUAGGGAGAGCAGAAGGCGAAAGCGGUCCAAGAAAGUGGGAUCUUUCUCAAGCCAAAACUAAGGGGCGCAGCGAGGGUGGUUUAAAACCCCAGCAGUGCCUAAUGUUUUCUCCAGGGCCGAUGGGCCCGCUGUUGGACCCGCCAAGUCCACUCAGCCGGGACCUGCACGACAGAGGCGCCGGGAGCUGAAAGCCGACGUGGGGCGCCCUGUCCACCGCGCUGUCCUCGGGAGCCUCAAUGCGCUAGGGCAGCGGCCGUCUGCCUAGGCUGCUGGGUCCCUUUAAAUCUCCGACGCAUCUCUAUUCUCUGUUUUUCAUGCGAUUUGCAUUGACAGUAAAGGUUUUAUGUUACAGAACAACUCAAACCUUUCUGUGUGCGAUUUAAAAUGGACCAUUUGGUUUAUGUGGUUUGUAAAUUCAUGUCAUUUUACCUCUUUUAGUGGUUUUCAGCGAAAGGUUCCAUUUUGGGAAACCUUAUAUAUCCGAGCCAAUAAUUAACAUUUAUAACAAUUGGUUCC
rnacentral:lncRNA from 1 species